UACGUAGGGUGCGAGCGUUAAUCGGAAUUACUGGGCGUAAAGGGUGCGCAGGCGGCCCUGUAAGACCGGUGUGAAAUCCCCGGGCUCAACCUGGGAAUUGCGCUGGUGACUGCAGGGCUAGAGUACGGUAGAGGGGGGUGGAAUUCCUGGUGUAGCAGUGAAAUGCGUAGAGAUCAGGAGGAACACCGAUGGCGAAGGCAGCCCCCUGGGCCUGUACUGACGCUCAUGCACGAAAGCGUGGGGAGCAAACAGGAUUAGAUACCCCGGUAGUCC
rnacentral:rRNA from 1 species